rnacentral:misc_RNA from 1 species
UUUUUAAUUUUUUUUUGCGCGUCGUGACAAACAAAACGCACGUGCGUGACAUAUAUUAACCCCGUUUUCUUAUUUUCCAUGUUUGCGGUACGUUUUCGCUCGCUGCUCAUUAUUCACGCGUCUAGCGGCGGCGUUGUGGCGCGGCAGGCGCGUUCUGAAAGGGGUCGAGACCGUGGUAGAUACGUGGUGGUGCGGUUGAGAGGGAGGGGUGGAAACCGUGGUAAACUCGUCUCCGCAGUUGAGCGGGAGUGGCCAAAAGAAUGUGCAAUCGUCUUUGUAGUGGAGCUGGGAGGGGCAAGCAUAAGGGACGAAGGCAGGGGUAACAUGUCG